CGUUGUAUGACCCUAAAAAAUUUGAGCGCCAAGUUUGCCACCAAGUUAUGUCAUGCCAAACCCAUCUGAAGCCCUAAAUUUUCCCCAACAUGUGUCAGUCAUACGACGAUAAACAAAAAACCUGUCGUCUAAUAAAUAUGUCUGACAGAAAGGAGGGAAAUUUCCCUCCUCCAUCUUUCUCCAGCUCCUCAAGGCGGGAAGUCCAAUUAAUAAGAGACGAGGCUUUGAUUGUAUUCAGACGACGUUCUUACGUAAACCCAUUGUGUGAUUCCUUGUCCAAAUUGAUAGGGCCUCACAAAUCCGGCUGAAACCCCAACACUUGGAGAAAAAAACAUAACAAAAAGAACUAAAUAAUAGCAAAACGUACCCCUCUUUCGACAGCUAGCCCUUGCUCUAUGUUAAUUGACUCAACUCACUGUCGACAGAUCCAAAAACAAGACCUAGCUAGCUCUCGCCCAGUGGCCUCACUCUCGACACACCUAAUCCAAAACCGGAAUCCUCUCUAUCUCAACAUACCCAAAGCCAAACGAAAUUCCUCACUCUGUAGCCUAGACCUCACUCUCCCAAACCCUCAUUCUUCUCUCUAACCAAUCUCAUCUCUCUUAGAAUGAGAUUGAGUCGGUGAACUGAGAUUGAGUCGAUGAACUGAGAUGACGCCAGUUCAGCCUCUCUAGAUCUAAUCGAUUCCCUUGGAACGAAGCACUGUUAGCCUCUCCGACUGGUUCUCGUCGCACCCAGGGGCAAGUGGAGACCAAAUUGUUUCUUUUUCCCGUCGCACCUAGCUACAAGAUCAAAUUUCUGGUUUUCUCAAAUUCAGCAAGAGUUGGAGGCUUAGAUGGAGUAUUGAUACCUUGGGCAAGAAGAUUAAACACGGAAACUUGUGGAGAUUGCAAGGGUAAGAGAGAAAGGGAGCUCAAAAAGCUGCUGGAAAAUUUUAAUAGCAAACGAAGAUGGAAGAUAGGUCUUGGAUGCAUGCAGAUAAAAGAUCUUUAGCUUAUGAGUUAGGGGUGGGAAGUUUCUUGAAGUUUGCUUUAGAAAAUGUGAAAAAUCCUAACAAUGUUGCUUGUCCAUGUUCAAAAUGUGGCAAUAUGGAUUUCUUUCCUAUCUCUGUUAUCAAGACUCAUUUGUAUUAUAAUGGGGUUGAUGAAACUUAUAAGGUAUGGAAGUGGCAUGGGGAGAAAGAAGAUACGUCUUCGGGUAGUAGUGAAGAUUCAGCCUCAGGUUCAAUUGAAUCUGAAUCUGUGGGUGGGAAUG